CUUUGAUCUCUAACCUCACAAAACCUGUGUGUCCAAUCUUUAGGUUCAACAGCCUCAAAUCCUAACCCAGGUGUCCUAUCUUGCGAGUUUGGGUUCAUAGCUUGUCUCCAAUCCACAACAUAAGCAGACACUCUCCUUCUAAAUUUGCUCUUAAACUCAACCCACGCUUGGUACUUAUAGUGAUUCACCAAACCCUCUUCGGGACCAAGUUGUUUCGAUCUAAACCCUUGUUUCUCAUUCACUUGAAAAUGAUGUAUCACAUUCCACAAACUUCUAUCAACUGCUUCUACCAACACAAUUGAUUUGUGUCUUUGUUCCACUUUCCUCCGACACGUGUACCCCUGUGUUACCCCUUCUUUCGGGUGUUGUCGUUGACCUGAUGGCCCAAAUUCUAAACACAUCAUUGACACCUGUCCAAUUCUACCACCCUUGUCCUCCCGCGGUAAAAUUGAUUUCAACGAAGGUAAUUCAUUUGAAUUGAAGUGGAACCCAUUAUUUCUCCAAGAGGGUAAAUACAUGAAUUCAUCAACAUCCACAUACAUCAUCCAAGUGCAUAAUCCUUUGGAUUUUGAGUACAAAAUACUGUGUGAGAAUCCAGCUUCUUGAGUCUUAGGCCAAAUCCAAAGCAACGUGCUUAUAUUAUAACCCUCUUCACGAAGCUCCUUAAUUAUUCUCUCCAAAUCAUCAUCAUCGCUUCCAUUAUCAUACAAUAUGAAAUUUUCCACUCCCACUUUUGAAUGAUACACAACCCAUUCCCUCAAAAACUUCGCCACAUUAUAAACCAUCGUGCAUGCACAAAGGAAAUAUUUGGGCUGGGCCGGAGGCCCAAAGUUUUGAACUGCCACGGGCUUAGAAUUGGGUUUAUUGGGCCUGGGAGUGUAAUACGCUACGGACGGAACCACGAUGUUUUCUCCAAUAAUCUCGAGGGAAACUCCAAUUUCGGAAUUCGAACCCAAAUCAGACGGAUCUGGAUGCAAGCAUCGGAAAACCUCUUGAACAGAGCUUGUAACGGCGGUGCGAAUUCCGUCUCCUAUUUGGAAAACACAGUUAAGCUCCUUCGCCGGCCUGUCGUAGCCUUGACGAUGAUUAACACCUUUGGCAAACAAAACUACGUCGUCUUCCAUUGAAAAAGACUCGUAAACAACAAAAUUCCACCUCACAAGCUCCGCCGCCGGAGAAUGAUUUUGAAAUUCAUUUUCCGACGUUCCGGUUACCAACAUAGGUUGCGAAAAUAUUUUCCGGCGCCAAACCGUACCCGGCAUGUCGCACUUGAACGUUGUACGGUUGGUGAAAGGUAAAACACCAGAGAAUUUCGCCUGAGACAUUUGGUUGUUCCGGAAAAGGCAGUUAUAUUCAUCGGAAGAAGAUAAAGGCGUGUUUGGAGAAACGAGAACGAGAAUCUCCCAAUCUGGUAAUAAAACUGAAACCGUUGAGAACGAGUUUCUGAAGUUGAUGGAUGAAACACGACGUGAUUGGUGUGAAAACUCGUUGACGAUGUUGUUGUUUUUGUUUGCAUUGGUAUGAACGACAACGUGAUUUUUUGCGUUUAGCUUCCAUGGACGAUCGUCAAGGUCGUAAUCAGGUCUCCAACCAGAAACGGCAUCACGAGAGAGAUGAAGAGAAAAUGCAGCAAAUAAAAGAAUAGAAAGUAAUGAAAGAAGGAGGGUUGUUCGUGGUUUUCGUCGCAUGGUUUCCCAAGGACUACUAAUGAAUGUUGUUGUUGAAUUGUUAAUGGAAAUAUUGGAAUCUGAUGGUGAAGAAGGUUUCAUAUUCAUAUUUUCUAUAUGAGUGAAAAGUAGUGUUACAGAUAGAUAGAUAGAUAGAGAGGGGGAUGGUGUGAGGUGAAAUCAGCACUCGUUUUGAGUUUUAUUCAUAGAUAGGAAUGAAUUGGGAAUAUGAAAGAUAUAGACACUACUCACAUAAUAAUAAUAAUUGUAGAAUGUUUUAUGUUAUUAGGUAAUGAUUUGAUUGUGAUUGGUGAUGAGGAGGAUCUGUAUGUAAACCAACUUUUCUGAUUCCAUAAGCAAAGCUAAUAGCGAGGGAGCAACCUUUACGUGCU
rnacentral:lncRNA from 1 species